rnacentral:rRNA from 1 species
UACGUAGGGGCCUAGCGUUGUCCGGAAUUAUUGGGUGUAAAGAGCUCGUAGGCGGCCUGUUGCGUCCGCUGUGAAAGCCCGGGGCUUAACCCCGGGUCGGCAGUGGAUACGGGCAGGCUAGAGGUAGGUAGGGGAGAAUGGAAUUCCCGGUGUAGCGGUGAAAUGCGCAGAUAUCGGGAGGAACACCGGUGGCGAAGGCGGUUCUCUGGGCCUUACCUGACGCUGAGGAGCGAAAGCGUGGGGAGCGAACAGG